UAGUCUCUUUACACUUAACUCUCUGGCUAUUAUUAUAUAUAGAAAAAACUUCAAAAAUUUCCCAAGUGGUUUCGCAUAUUUUUAUUUAGUACCCUGUGGUUUAAAAUGUAUCAAGUUAAUACCCUAUGAUUUCAUACUUUCUCACUUUAGUACCUGUGGCUUAAAGUGUAUCAAGUUAGUACUCCGUGGUUUUACUUUUGUAUCAAGUUAGUACCAUGUGAUUUUAUUUUUGUAUCAAGUUAGCACCCUAUGGUUUUUAAACCACAAAAUACUAAAGUGAUAAAGUGCAAAAUCACAGGGUCCUAAAGUGAUAAAGUGCGAAAUCACAGGGUACUAACUUGAUGCACUUUAAACCACAGAAUACUAAAGUGAAAAAGUACAAAACCACAAGGUACUAACUUGAUACACUUUAAACCACAGAGUACUAAAGUAAGAAAAAGUGAAACCACAAGAGGGGUAUUUGAAGUUUUCUCUUAUAUACAUAAGAAAAUCUGACUUUUGUUGGAUCUUUUAGGUCUAUUAGCUAGAAUUAAUAUGGAGAAAGUGAGUAAAUUUAAUUGAAAAACCAGAUCAAGUAUCUAAUCUUUUUUUCUUUUCUUUUUUUUGAGAAAAAGGUAACAUGUCAUCCGCUUCAUUUAUUUCAUUUAGAAAUAAACUUAGCUCAAAAUAUAAAUCAACUAGAAUUUGAACUUGAGUCUCGGAUACCAACCACCAAGCUUUUUUGCCACUUGCGCUAGCGCUAGGAACGGUUGGUCUAAUCAUUAAUUUAUUAAAGUACAGUUUUUGACCUUUUAGUUACUUUUUUAAGUACCUAAUAAUUUAUUUCUAUAGUAUUGCUUGGUCUACCAUCCAAAAUUAAUUGUAAUCCUACAGUCAUCCCCUCCAAAGUUCAUUUUUCCUUUACAAGUCCUUUUUUUUUUUCUUUUUUGCUUUUUACUAAAAGCUAAAAAAUAUUAGUAAAUCCUAAAACCUUUGAAUGAAAAUUGUAAAAGUUACGACCAUUUUGCUUGUAGACUUGAUAUUUCUUUUAUUUCUAUCACCAAAUUUUAGUCUGUAAUGCUUUCAAAUUUCUACCUAGUAAAAAGUAAUAGUGUCUACAUGAUCUUGUCUAAUAGGAAAAAAUUUCUUACUAACUUUAAUUUGUUUGUAAGUAAAAAACUAAUUUAUUAUCAUUCUUUUCCUAAAUAAGAAAACAAUGCACUACAAAUGUAUAUAGAGAGAGACUCUGGCUACUAUAUUAUUGUUAACAUAAAAUAUUUAUUGCUAUUGAGUAUUUCAUUAUUAAAUUUAUUUUUUUAAUUAUUUUUAUUUAUUAAAUUAUACUAUUUCACUAACCAGUCAUUCAAUUUUAAAAAAUUAUUAUCAUUUUAACCAUACAUUUCGUCAUCCAAGAAGUGAAAAUUUAAUAAUGCUAUCAAUUUGAUGCUAUUAAUAGUAUAGCACGUCGUUCUCUCUUUAUAUAUAUAUAUAUAUAAUUGAGCUUUUAUAUUUUUUAAAUAAGUGUUUUAAUGUUGGACUUUUUAAAAAAUACGAUUCUUCGAAAGUUUAAAUAUUUUUUUUUUGGAGAUAAAUAAUUAUUUCAUAUAAUUUAAUACGGCAAUGCGGGACCUGAACGGCGAGGAGCGGGCGGUGGAGCCCCUCGAGGUUCAUGACGCCGGUGUACGGCACCAGCUGCUGCAGUAUCUCCUCCGCGAUGCCGCCGCCGCCCCCGUCGGCGAGGUCCGCGACCGCCACCGCCUCCGCCGCGGCCUCCANGCUUUGCUCUCUUCUCUUUACUCACAAUAUCAAUAGCAAUAAUAACAAAAUUAAUUUAAAUUUAAAACCCGAUCAAUUUAGUUUCACGCCAGAUCAACAAUCGACACCGUUAAAUUUGAUCAAAAAAUAGUUGAACUUUACGAAAAUCAAAUUUCGCAAUAUUUUUUAUAUUAUUUGUCUGGAAUUCUUGCGGUUCUAAAUCUGACCAUUUGUAGUGGCUAAAUACAAGAUGAAUUAAGAUUUGAGACCACUUAACUACCGGAUACAUAAUUUUGUAGGAUUAUAAAAAGACAGCAUCUGAUUUAUGGUGCCAAUUAUUAGCAAACAGUUCCUUUUUCUUCUCCAAGUAUUCUAGUUUUUACUUAAUGAAAUUGACUAAACUCAAAUAGACUUAAUCUUCUUUUCUUUUUCUUUUUUUUUGUUUUUAAAGGGUUAAAAUGUUCUUGACAGAUUAAGUUUAUAGUCAACAAAUUCCCCUAUUACUUCAACGGAUUCUUGGUCCUUGCCUAGGUUCUCUAGUCUCUUUACACUUAACUCUCUGGCUAUUAUUAUAUAUAGGAAAAACUUCAAAAAUUCCUCCUGUGGUUUAGCACAUUUUUUUUUAGUAUUCUAUAAUUUAAAGUGUAUCAAAUUAGUAUCCUGUAAUUUCGUACUUUCUCACUUUAAUACCUGUGGUUUAAAGUGUAUCAAGUUAGUACUCCGUGGUUUUACUUUUGUAUCAAGUUAGUGCCAUGUGAUUUUAUUUUUAUAUCAAGUUAGUACCCUAUGGUUUUUAAACCACAAAAUACUAAAGUGAUAAAGUGCAAAAUCACAAGGUACUAAAGUGAUAAAGUGCGAAAUCACAGGGUACUAACUUGAUGUACUUUAAACCACAGAGUACUAAAGUGAAAAAGUACAAAACCACAAGGUACUAACUUGAUACACUUUAAACCACAUAGUACUAAAGUGAGAAAAAGUGAAACCACAAGAGGGAUAUUUGAAGUUUUCUCUUAUAUACAUAAGAAAAUCUGACUUUUGUU
rnacentral:lncRNA from 1 species